rnacentral:rRNA from 1 species
CCCUUAGACGUUCUGGGCCGCACGCGCGCUACACUGACCAGUGCAACAAGCAUCCGUCCUUGGCCGACAGGCCCGGGCAAUCUUUGAACGCUGGUCGUGAUGGGGAUAGACUUUUGCAAUUUUUGGUCUUCAACGAGGAAUUCCUAGUAAACGCAAGUCAUCAACUUGCAUUGAUUACGUCCCUGCCCUUUGCACACACCGCCCGUCGCACCUACCGAUUGAAUGGUCCGGUGAAGCCUCCGGAUUGGCGCGCACCUCGGUGCCGCCGAGAAGUUGGCUAAACCUUACCAUUUAGAGGAAGGUGAAGUCGUAACA